rnacentral:lncRNA from 1 species
AGAUGAGCUGACAGACCCUGGCUGAGCAGGAAGUGGCAGGGUCAGGAAAAGCUAGGCCACAAGUUUUCCCUUGAGAGCCUUAGAGUCUAGCCCUGUCGCCCAGGCUGGAGUGCCAUGGUUUGAACUCUACUCACCGCAACCUCCACCUCCCAGGUUCAAAUGAUUCUCCUGCCUCAGCCUCCUGAAUAUCUGGGAUUACAGGUGUCUUUGUGAAGCUUCCUAUCUUUGCUUUUCAACUAAGAUGAAACAGCAUUUAAAAGAAAAUGCCAUGUGAGAUGAGAUCAGGAGAAUGGAUUCUUUCUUUCAUCUGAAUAGAGAGCUGCUGUUCGAGAUUCUAACUCAAAUAGCUCAAAGGACACCUUCUCCGGGAAACCUUCCCUGACUUCCGACGCUGUUUCCUGUUGGGCAUCUAUGUAAAUCAUUUGGAGUUUUUGCCUUUCCUCUUAGAAGAAAAAUAUGAAUGAUUUGACUGAACAGGCCUAUAGCCAAACCCAAGAUGAUCUUUCCAAGCGUGAACUCCAUCUUCAAACUUCUAGUGAGUCUGAGGCCGCAACUGGAAAAAUUUAGAAAUAAUUUCUAAUUCUUGAAAUCUUUGAAAUGUCAAAACAUUAAAACUUUAAGUUUUUGUAUCUUGUUUAAUGUUUAACAAUUUUCUGAAACUUUGGAAAUUAUGUAGGUAUUCUAUUUUGUUAGUUUGGCUUAGCAUAUAUAAAUAGAGCUAUGUCUACAUAUUAAUAGUAGUCUUGUUUUACCUUACCUUUGUUUUUUUGUUGUUGUUGUAUGCCAUCUAGAUCUUAAACCUUAAAGAAGAAACUAUGGCAAUGUCUCUUCCACCACUCUUGACUAGCAUGAUGUGUUGCCAAAAGACUUCAGAUCAUAAGUGCGAAAUAAAAAAUCAAAAAUUGA